GACGAACCGUGCGAACGUUGUUCGGAUUCACUGGGCUUAAAGGGCGCGUAGGCGGGCAAUCAAGUCAGGGGUGAAAGCCUCCAGCUUAACUGGAGAAGUGCCUCUGAUACUGGUCGUCUUGAGGGAGGUAGGGGCAUGUGGAACUUCCGGUGGAGCGGUGAAAUGCGUAGAUAUCGGAAGGAACGCCGGUGGCGGAAGCGACGUGCUGGACCUCUUCUGACGCUGAGGCGCGAAAGCUAGGGGAGCGAACGGG
rnacentral:rRNA from 1 species